CCCCCUUUUCCCUUCAAACCUGCCAUGUGCCAGUGACUCCUUUGUCUGAAUGUUUGUGCCAUGUGGUUUCGAAGAAUUACCUGGAGUGGAUGCAUUACUGAUCAAAAAACAUCCACAUCCAAAUCCACUCCUUUGUCAGCAUAGAGCUGAUCCUUUCUUUUGAAAAUAAACCUUCAAAACCUGCCCUGGAUCCUGUGUGUUUGACUGCACACCACACCAGUAUCAAGAGGAAACAAACAUUUUACAAUAUAUAAAAAUUAAAGUAAAAAAUAAUCCCA